rnacentral:rRNA from 1 species
UACAGAGGGGGCAAGCGUUGUUCGGAAUUACUGGGCGUAAAGGGCGCGUAGGCGGCCUUCUAAGUCGAACGUGAAAUCCCCGGGCUCAACCCGGGAACUGCGUCCGAUACUGGAAGGCUUGAAUCCGGGAGAGGGAUGCGGAAUUCCAGGUGUAGCGGUGAAAUGCGUAGAUAUCUGGAGGAACACCGGUGGCGAAGGCGGCAUCCUGGACCGGUAUUGACGCUGAGGAGCGAAAGCGUGGGGAGCGAACAGG